rnacentral:rRNA from 1 species
UGCAGAGGGUGCGAGCGUUAAUCGGAAUUACUGGGCGUAAAGCGCGCGUAGGUGGUUGUGUAAGUCGAGUGUGAAAGCCCCGGGCUCAACCUGGGAACUGCAUUCGAGACUGCAUUACUCGAGUAUGGGAGAGGGCAGUGGAAUUUCCGGUGUAGCGGUGAAAUGCGUAGAUAUCGGAAGGAACAUCAGUGGCGAAAGCGGGUCUCUGGGCCGAUACUGACGCUGAGGAGCGAAAGCGUGGGGAGCAAACAGG